AACGAACGCUGGCGGCAGGCCUAACACAUGCAAGUCGAGCGAGGACUUUGGUCCUAGCGGCGGACGGGUGAGUAACGCGUGGGAACGUGCCCUUUGCUUCGGAAUAGCCCUGGGAAACUGGGAGUAAUACCGGAUGAGCCCUUUGGGGGAAAGAUUUAUCGGCGAAGGAUCGGCCCGCGUUGGAUUAGGUAGUUGGUGGGGUAAUGGCCUACCAAGCCGACGAUCCAUAGCUGGUUUGAGAGGAUGAUCAGCCACACUGGGACUGAGACACGGCCCAGACUCCUACGGGAGGCAGCAGUGGGGAAUCUUAGACAAUGGGGGAAACCCUGAUCUAGCCAUGCCGCGUGAGCGAUGAAGGCCUUAGGGUUGUAAAGCUCUUUCAGCUGGGAAGAUAAUGACGGUACCAGCAGAAGAAGCCCCGGCUAACUCCGU
rnacentral:rRNA from 1 species